rnacentral:rRNA from 1 species
AGCAGCCGCGGUAAUUCCAGCUCCAAUAGCGUAUAUUAAAGUUGUUGCAGUUAAAAAGCUCGUAGUUGAAUUUCGGGGUUAGUAGGUUGGUCAUGCCUCUGGUAUGUACUGGUCUCACUGAUUCCUCCUUCCUGAUGAGCCGUAAUGCCAUUAAUUUGGUGUUGCAGGGAAUCUGGACUGUUACUUUGAAAAAAUUAGAGUGUUUAAAGCAGGCUAACGCUUGAAUACAUUAGCAUGGAAUAAUGAAAUAGGACGUUCGAUCCUAUUUUGUUGGUUUCUAGGAUUGACGUAAUGAUUAAUAGGGAUAGUUGGGGGCAUUAGUAUUCAAUUGUCAGAGGUGAAAUUCUUGGAUUUAUUGAAGACUAACUACUGCGAAAGCAUUUGCCAAGGAUGUUUUCAUUAAAUCAAGAACGAAAGUUAGGGGAUCGAAGACGAUCAGAUACCGUCGUA